AGCACGUGAGGAAAAAGCCACGCUUUCCGGGUCGUGUCCCCGCCUCCUCCUUGUGCUCCGUGCUUCUGGAAGCUUCCACACUGCCCCCAGCGGCAGAGUUUCCUGAGAACUCGGAACACUAGAGGGAGUUCCUAGACACGAACUGCCGCCGAACUCCAGUUGCUGCUUCUGCCGGGUUCCUGGGAUUUCAGGGGCCACAAGACACGGGGAGAAGAUUUUGCAGGAAGGGAAUGAGGGAGCAGACUGGGCUCGUUUUAAGACUAGACAAAGAGAGACGGAGGAUGCUACGUUCUUGACAGAAUCCUAAAUCCUAAAUGGAUGGGGAGGAGUUUUUGUUGAAACGAACCUACUAGAACACUUCAUUCUCGGGACUUUUCUCUACAUGUCUGUGAUGAUGGCAAGGAUGUCCAUUUACGCGCUCGAGCCAGAAUCCCAAAUCAAUUCAGCAAUUGCGGAAAGCAGCUUUCUUCUGGAGACAGAGAAACCAGCAUGCUGGAGUCUACCCAAACUGGCGCCGACUGUGGGGAAAAAGAGGUUAAAAGCUCCCCUGG